ensembl:lncRNA
GGCAGAGCAAAAGUUCAACGAAACAGACCUCUCAUCAUGGGCCGUGUCCUCUGCUCGUUUCCUCUUGGAUGAAUUUCCCUGUUUAAAGUGCUGAUAGUGGCCCAGGUUUACCCCCUCGUGGGGUCACCGCUCACUCUGUCAGAAUCUCCCCUCUGAAAAUUUCUGCUCGCAAACCGUUGGCUCUGGGCCCAUCCAAGGAGCGUUCAUCCCGUGCUGACGUUGGGGCAGAACAUUCGAAAGUGAGCACAUCCUUUUCCUUGGCCUCUGGGUGCUUACGUUCAAAGGGCUGGAGAUGGGAAGGAGCUUAGAGUGAGGCAAGGUGGGACCGCCCCAGCAUAGUGCUUUUCUGCCCUGGGGGUGGACCUGAGAGUCGUCGGGCGAAGCUGUCUCGGGGAGAUGAUGGGCAGGAGGUGAGCUUGUAAGCAGGAGGGGAGGAUGACCUUGCAGCCGUGAGGGCCGGGGCCAGGACCAGGGACAGGUGGAAGAGGGUGCUUCAGAACCUCAGGAAUCAAGCCAAACAAGGUUUUAGUGCCGUGUUUCAAAAAAAUCAAAUACGUGCCAAAACGUCAUGAUGUACAAAGUUCCAGGUUUUAAAUCCAGGUAGGAUCCUUGUUACAGCAAAGGCUCGAGCAAUGAACAUGGAUUUCAGGUGAGACGGGAGCUGAAGGAAAAAAAAAAUACAUUGCAGGCCUGGCUAUGGAUCGGGGCAUCUCAUGAUUUCAUAUUCAAAUUGAUGAUGAGACGUGCCUGCUGUGGCACAGUGGGUUAAGGAUCCGACUGCAGUGGCUCAGGUUUGAUUCCCAGUCGGAUGCAGUGCUUUCAAGGUUCUGGCCUUGGCGUGGUUCUGGCUCAAAUUCAUUCCUGGCCCAGGAACUUCCAUGUGCUCUGAAUGCGGCCGUGAAAGAAAAUCGUGAUAGUUACGGUAAGAUGACGACAACGAUGGUGACAGCAGGACGUACCACUUGUUGAGCAGUUGCUGUGUGCCACCACCUGGGCUUGCACCUUAUCCGUUGCUCACAUGUGAGUCUUUGGGUGGUAUUCCCUGUUACUACCAAGAAAGCUUGGAGGAAGCGAGCAAGCUGUUGAAGGUGGCGGCGUGGAGAUUCAGGCCCUUCCCCGCUGGAGUGAAGCACCGAGCGCCAAGGCCCUACCGCCUGCGGUCGCUCUUGGCUUUCACUGUCCCUGGCCUGCAGAGAGGCCAUUCUCAUGACAGCCAGGAAGUGAGUUGAAAGAGGCAGAGUUUUCUUAGCCUAAAGACCAAGAGAGAGGCUGAAAGAAUGGACCCUUUAGAAAUCCUGUGAGCUGGUACAGAGACAGCACUGAGGACCAAGAGGCGGGAGAAAUAAUGCUCUUAAUGUUGCAAAAGUAGAAGUGGAAAGAACUUCCCGUGUGGUAACCGAAGAUGGGAGGUAAACGGAAAGACGAUAUAUGGAUACACGCAUUGUGGCUGAAUUUGGUGAGAUGCCCACAUAUGCGUGCGUGCAGACGCACGAGCGCAGGAAAAUAUCUAAUAGUUAUGUUUUAUUUAGGGCAUAACAAAUUAUUAUCCUGUCUUUUUAAAAGCAGUUGGCUUAAAUUCUUGCUUAAGGAUAUCUGAUGGAGUUAAUAGGGGACUAUAUUUUAACGUAACAUAUUUUUCGUUCAGCUAGGUGUAAUGUUUAUUUCUAGAAGUAAUUACUAGAAUUGCAAACCACCGGUGCUUCAGAAACAUCUUAACAUGUCUUUUUUGGUGUUGCCACUUAAUGAGUGAUGUAAGACAGCGUCUAAGGAGAGAAUAUUUAGAGUAUCUACGCAUGUCACUUGUAUAAUCUAUCUAAAAAUGAUCUUGCCUAUUCACUAUUUAAAUAGCUGUGGCGUUUUAGUGAGUACCAACACUAACAAACCGUGUACACGUGAUUUAAAGUAUGUAAUGAGAUUUGCAGUGCCAUCUGAUGAUGAAACUACAGAAUUAGUGAGCACAGCAUUGACCCAUCAUCCUUAUAAAGAGCUGUUUGCAUUGUGACCAACCCCCUUAUGGGCUGGCAGCAUGUCUGCAAGUGAUAUCUUCACCGAUGCCCCCGGAAGGAUGGUCUACCUGAUGCUGGAGUGCCCCUCGCAGUGUGCCUGCCUCUGAUGUUAAUCUGUGCGCCCAGGAGAGUUGGCAGUGUUCAGACCCGCUGGUGAUGUGCUGACUGUGCAUGUCCGCCCCCCUCUUGUUCAUUGUGUUACUGUGGUCCUCAUUAAAGGCCUUUCCAGGGCCUUUCUCACAUCUCUGAUGGUGGUUCUUCCAAAGCAAGCUUGUCCCAGGGCAGCAAAAGCUCUCCUGCCAACAUGCCCCUUCACCACUUUGAAUGCAAUGGCAAAACGCUUUCGCAUUCAGUCCAGAUUAGCCGCUCGUUCUCUAGGUGCUUUCAAGGGAAUGACUCAUCACAGUUCUUGGGGCACAGAGCUUCAGCAUGCAAGGGUCGCUUUGUGACUUAAGCGUCUGUCCUGAGCAAGUGAAGGUGAAUUCCACCAAAAUCAGUGGAAAGAAAGACAAAAAGCUCUUUUUACCUGACUUUAAAAAGAAAAAAUCACAGAUCUUUAUUUCCCAAAUGCUAAGCUUUCUUUUGGGAGAUCUUAAUAUUUUGGGGAUCACAGAGGGGAGCGUGUAAACAGAACGUGAACUUAGCCCUUUCACUGGACUCAGCAACUUUCCUGACUCCCUUUUUCUCCAUAAGGAAACCGAGGAAUCCCCCACAGAUGAAGGGGCACAGCUUGAUCUGGUCCAGCUUGGUCUAGAGACUCUGUUUCAGUAUUUAUUCCACCUUCCCUGAUUCCCUGCCAUUGAUUCAGCACCUUUUGGCUUAAACAUUUACUUAUCUUUGUAUCCCAUGUCUAGAGUAUAUGUGGUCUUACGUUAAAUUAGCGUUCAGCAUUUGCUAGACAGAAUAUAAGUUUAUAAAAUUUAAUCAACAAGCAGAAUAUAUAUCAACCAGUUUUAGCAUUAGUCGUAUGGUAUUAAAAAUGUAUGGGACUUCCCUGGUGGCUCAGCGGUUAAGGAUCCAGUCUUGUCACUGCUAUGGCUCGGGUUGCCACUGGGUGCAGGUUUGAUUCCCUGGCCCAGGAACCUCCACAUGCCAUGGGCGUGGCCAAAAAACCCAGUACGUAUAUAUGCACAAAAAUACUUAUGUACACUCAUAUCACUACCGGUGGAUGCCAGUAGGUGGCGCUCUGUUUCACCCGUGGGUGGCUUAGCCUGGAAUUGGCUUGUAGAAUGUGGCAGGAAAGUGAUGGAAUGACUAGUGUGUCUUUCUUGGGCCUCGAGCAGAUGAAAAAAACCUUCAUUCCCAACAGUUUCCAUUCCCCAUGUCACCUCCGUAUUUAAUUUACUUCACUUACAUGACUACUUGAAGUUUUCCCAGGUGAGUUGCUCCUAUUCAUUAUAACCUGGAGGAGUGGGAUUAGUAAACGAGUGGCUUAUACUUUCUAAAGGGAGGCCAGUGGAUGGUGACAUGGGAAGAACUGAUCUGCCAGCAGCUUGCGUGAUGGGGUGAACUGAGGGCACCUGAGCCAUCUCAGGGGCCCAGGUUGUCAUAACCUAGAGGUUACCCAGGCCAUGACCUUGCAUUUAGAGAGUCAGAAACUGAACCCCGAAUGUUAGGCUACUGUUUCAAGUUCUUACCAAAAGAGGGUGUUUCCGCAGCACAAUGAAAAGGUUUCGCUCAAGUGGCCCGUCCAGUGUUUGGAAUGAAUGCGUAUUUCUUGUGUGAUUGGAUAUUUCAGUGGCUGGAGAGCUGGCAUUAUGCUGUAAGUUCAGUUAGUCGGUUUUCUGCGUCUCCUGAGUAAGGGCUAUGUUAGUCGAGCAUUUUUGCCUUCGUCCCAAUAAACGCCUUUCCUCCUCCUCUUCAUCUUCUUCUGGGUCUCCAGCCACGGAGGUCAGGACUGCUAUUCUCUGUGUUACUUGGUUUUGCUUUCCUUCCAAUUCAUUGAUCUGUAUGGUCUCUACGCGUGAGUGAGUGUGGCGCGUGCUUUAGUUGUGAGCUCUCAGACGUCAGUGCCUUUUUAGGGAGCAAGAUUUACCUUCUGCACUUGCAUGCGCUAUUGUUACAGGCUGCUGGUGUUGGGAUGUUCUUCUAGUUUAAAUGUGGGUAAGUAUUUUAAAAGGAUGUCAGUGGCUUGUCUACAUUCUCAUUCAGCCUGAAGGCCUUCUUGUUGUUACAAAGGAAACAUUGCAAGAUCCAAUUUAAAAAACUCAAGACGUUGGGCUUUUCUUGUGGUACAGUGGGUUAAGGAUCUGGUGUUGUCACUGCCGAGGCCCAGUUUCCAUCCCUGGCCCAGGAACUUCCACACGCUGUGGGUGUGGCCAAAAAGACCCUGCCAAAACAAAGCC